rnacentral:rRNA from 1 species
UACGUAGGGUGCGAGCGUUAAUCGGAAUUACUGGGCGUAAAGCGUGCGCAGGCGGUUCGUUGUGUCGGUGGUGAAAUCCCCGGGCUUAACCUGGGAAUGGCCAUGGAAACUGGCGAGCUGGAGUGCGGCAGAGGGGGGUGGAAUUCCGCGUGUAGCAGUGAAAUGCGUAGAGAUGCGGAGGAACACCGAUGGCGAAGGCAGCCCCCUGGGCUAACACUGACGCUCAGGCACGAAAGCGUGGGGAGCAAACAGG